rnacentral:rRNA from 1 species
CCUACGGGUGGCAGCAGUGAGGAAUAUUGGUCAAUGGCCGUAACGCUGAACCAGCCAAGUCGCGUGAAGGAAGAAGGAACUAUGGUUUGUAAACUUCUUUUAUAGGGGAAUAAAGGUAUCUACGUGUGUAUAUUUGCAUGUACCCUAUGAAUAAGCAUCGGCUAACUCCGUGCCAGCAGCCGCGGUAAUCCGGAGGAAGCGAGCGUUAUGCGGAUGUAUUGGGUGUAAAGGGUGCGUAGGGUGUUUUGUAAGUCAGCGGUGAAAGUUUGGGGCUCAACCAUACGAUUGCCGUUGAAACUGUAAGACUGGAGUGUGUUUGAGGUAGGCGGAAUUCGUGGUGUAGCGGUGAAAUGCAUAGAUAUCA